ensembl:snRNA U6 U6 spliceosomal RNA
GUGCUCACUUCAGUAGCAUAUAUACUAAAAUUGAAACAAUACAGAAAAGAUUAGCAUGGCCCCUGCACAAGGAUGAUAUGCAAAUUCAUAAAUCGUUCCAUAGUUUU